rnacentral:rRNA from 1 species
UACGAGAGGCCCAAACGUUAUUCGGAAUUACUGGGCUUAAAGAGUUCGUAGGCGGCGCAGAAAGUAGGGUGUGAAAGCCCUCGGCUUAACCGAGGAAUUGCGCUCUAAACUACUGUGCUUGAGGAACCUAGAGGUGAGCAGAACUGAUGGUGGAGCGGUGAAAUGCGUUGAUAUCAUCAGGAAUACCGGAGGCGAAGGCGGCGCCCUGGCUCGCAACUGACGCUCAGACACGACAGCAUGGGGAGCGAACGGG